CACAACAAGUGAACACUCAGAGCAAAGCAGUGCAGAACUUGUCCCCGGGUGAGAAAGAUGCAUCGCGGCCUGUUGUUGCUGGCGGUGGUGUUGGUGGCGGUGUGCGUGACCACCAGUGAAGCAGGCGGAAACCCUGGCGUAUGUCCAUCACUAAUCACCAGCUGCAGUGGACGGCCAUGCAUCUCCGACCGAGAUUGCUUACGACACCAAAAAUGCUGCUUUAAUCCAUGCGGCAGACUUUGCACAAAUGUUCGUCCGUAUGGGUUCCACUAACCACCACAACCACCACCACCACUUUGGCCUGAGAGGAAACAUGAAUCUGAUGUUAACUGUUGCUGAUUGGUGUUGUUAAAGAAUGAUGAAUAAAAAUUGGCUAAAAUA